GUAGGGGUUAGACAGUACAGAGACAGGUCAUUAAGGAGCAGGUAGGGGUUAGACAGUACAGAGACAGGUCAUUAAGGAGCAGGUAGGGGUUAGACAGCACAGAGACAGGUCAUUAAGGAGCAGGUAGGGGUUAGACAGUACAGAGACAGGUCAUUAAGGAGCAGGUAGGGGUUAGACAGUACAGAGACAGGUCAUUAAGGAGCAGGUAGGGGUUAGACAGCACAGAGACAGGUCAUUAAGGAGCAGGUAGGGGUUAGACAGUACAGAGACAGGUCAUUAGGAGCAGGUAGGGGUUAGACAGUACAGAGACAGGUCAUUAAGGAGCAGGUAGGGGUUAGACAGUACAGAGACAGGUCAUUAAGGAGCAGGUAGGGGUUAGACAGUACAGAGACAG
ensembl:lncRNA